rnacentral:rRNA from 3 species
GAACGACUCUCGGCAACGGAUAUCUCGGCUCACGCAUCGAUGAAGAACGUAGCAAAAUGCGAUACUUGGUGUGAAUUGCAGAAUCCCGUGAACCAUCGAGUUUUUGAACGCAAGUUGCGCCCGAAGCCAUUCGGUUGAGGGCACAUCUGCCUGGGCGUCACGU